ACCGGCGGGUGUAGCGAUUCGCUGUUAUCUGAGCAGAGGUCGGGUUGUUGGAGAAGGUGUUCAGACAUCGUGUGGGGCCCUGGAAACACGGGAUCGUGAUCCGCCCCGGCUAGCCCGCAGCCUCUGGAGGCGAUCCCACGGAGGUGGUAUCGUCUCCAUGGAUAAUGAAGAGCGGAACGCCUCCGGCUGGAAAGAGAGCAGGGAAAAGCGCUCGCUGAGGAUCAGUGACGGGAUUACGCUCAGUGUUAUCGUCGAGGUUGGGUUCUGCAGAGUAGAGAAAGAU
rnacentral:SRP_RNA from 1 species